GAUGAACGCUGGCGGCGUGCCUAAUACAUGCAAGUCGAGCGAACGGACGAGAAGCUUGCUUCUCUGAUGUUAGCGGCGGACGGGUGAGUAACACGUGGAUAACCUACCUAUAAGACUGGGAUAACUUCGGGAAACCGUAGCUAAUACCGGAUAAUAUUUUGAACCGCAUGGUUCAAAAGUGAAAGACGGUCUUGCUGUCACUUAUAGAUGGAUCCGCGCUGCAUUGGCUAGUUGGUAAGGUAACGGCUUACCAAGGCAACGAUGCAUAGCCGACCUGAGAGGGUGAUCGGCCACACUGGAACUGAGACACGGUCCAGACUCCUACGGGAGGCAGCAGUGGGGAAUCUUGCGCAAUGGGCGAAAGCCUGACGGAGCAACGCCGCGUGAGUGAUGAAGGUCUUCGGAUCGUAAAACUCUGUUAUUAGGGAAGAACAGAUGUGUAAGUAACUGUGCACAUCUUGACGGUACCUAAUCAGAAAGCCACGGCUAACUACGUG
rnacentral:rRNA from 1 species